UACGGAGGGGGCUAGCGUUGUUCGGAAUUACUGGGCGUAAAGCGCACGUAGGCGGCUUUGUAAGUUAGAGGUGAAAGCCCAGGGCUUAACCCUGGAAUUGCCUUUAAGACUGCAUCGCUAGAAUCGUGGAGAGGUGAGUGGAAUUCCGAGUGUAGAGGUGAAAUUCGUAGAUAUUCAGAAGAACACCAGUGGCGAAGGCGACUCACUGGACACGUAUUGACGCUGAGGUGCGAAAGCGUGGGGAGCAAACAGGG
rnacentral:rRNA from 1 species